UCCUUGUGGGGCAGGACCUCCCCUGUUCACACACAGAGAAACGGAGGCUCAGGGAGCCCAAGCAACUUCCUCAAGGCCACACAGCUGAACAGGAGCUGAGGCUGAGUCCGAUCAAGACCAGUGAGCUCCACGGCAGGUGUAAAGACGCGCCCAGCAAAGAGUGUGUGCUGCUGUGUCUUGAGGCGGCUUAGUGCACUUCCCAGCCACAUCCAAGUGCUGAGUCCCCCAGAGGAGCUUGGGAACAAGGAGAGAGGCCCAGAGAGGCUGAGAGACCUGGCCAGCGCCACACAGCACACCAGGACCAGGCACUCCUGCUCAGCUCGACUGCUGCUGCUCUUGGCUGGACAGGGAGGGCCGUCCCCACUGAGUCGGACAGAGGCCACUGUGUGUAGUGACACCUGAACCCAGGCCCCCUGGUGCCCGAGGCGGAUGUGCUGGAUGCAGGGGCAAUACUGUACCCUCCCUCCUGGGACCCAGCACACGCUCCCAGUCCCAGCCACAUCUGGAUCCCACCUGGCAGCUCCAGGAACCAGAGGAGAGGGAGAAGCCACCCCGGGAACUUGCCAUCAGAGAUGAGGAGGAGCCGGGGGACAAGGACAAAGGCGGAGGCCAGCUAGGGCCAAGAGGGUGCCUCGUGGUGGCGGUGUCUCAGAGCGGUGGACUGUGCACAGCCUUCCUGCAGGGUGCUGGCAGUAGGGACUCCUGCCCAUGCUCUGGUCCUCAGGGGAGCAAAGGGUGACGUCUGUCUCCUGGUCACGACGGACAACAGAACCACACGUGGAAGCCAGGCCUGCGUGACUGGCACCCCAAGGGGCGCCCACACCCCCAGCUACAUAUCAACUUCUGUUUUGUGGCCCUGAAGAUUGAACCUAGAUCCCUCCGGCUGAGCUACAUCCCCAGCCCAUUGUUUUUUAUUUUGAGACAGGAUCUUGGUAUGUCACCCGGGCUAGGUUCAAACUUGUGUUUUUCCUGCCUCAGCCUCCCAAAGUGCUGAGAUUACAGAUAAAUGCCACUUGUACCCAGCUAAUUUUCUCAGUCUUUCCCACACCAAUCUUCCCCUUCAGCCUCUGAGACCUGGCUGACGUCACUGCUCACCCCAGAAAGUUGCUCCCAGCACAAGAGCAACUCUCCCUCAGACCUGCCCCUCCUCCCUCCAGAAGACCAGAAAGACUCAGGACAGAUUCAAGGUUUAUUAUGCUGGUGUGUUAUAUCUCAGCACCUGGAGGGUUAUGCAGAGGUUGGGGGAGCCCCACACAGAGGACUGGGGCGGGCUCCCUGUCGAGGACAGAAGAAUGCUGUGGACAUAGACUGCCAGACCUCAUGUAUGAGCAAAGGGCCAGUGGCCAGCACCUCCUGCUCCAGGCUGGGCGUCAGAAACCAAAAUGGGGGUUCCUUACUAAUGCAGCCCCCUAGCUUACAGACUGCUUUGAGUCUGACAGGUAGAGAGGGUUCAGCGCACGCGCCCCAGCCCAGAAGCAGUAGAGGGAUGAGAGACCCAGGUAGACGUGGCUUGAGCAACCAAAGCCCUGUACCACACACCCCAGCUCUGGACCAACCAGAACUUUGGGAAGCACCUUUAGGAAGAUGAGAGCAGUAUUUCCCAGAGGGAGUUUUGCAGGAUUUGACCUUACAGCUGUCUUAAAAAGCAGCGAUGCUGGCGGGCACGCAGCUCAGUGGUACAGCACUUGCCCAGCACACACGUGGACCUGGGCUCCUACCCCGGCACAGCCAAAAAUAAAAAAUGAAAGCUUUGAAAA